rnacentral:rRNA from 1 species
AUUCCGGUUGAUCCUGCCGGAGGCCAUUGCUAUCGGAGUCCGAUUUAGCCAUGCUAGUUGCACGAGUUUAGACUCGUAGCAUAUAGCUCAGUAACACGUGGCCAAACUACCCUACAGACCGCGAUAACCUCGGGAAACUGAGGCCAAUAGCGGAUAUAACUCUCAUGCUGGAGUGCAGAGAGUUAGAAACGUUCCGGCGCUGUAGGAUGUGGCUGCGGCCGAUUAGGUAG